rnacentral:rRNA from 1 species
GAUGAACGCUGGCGGCGUGCCUAAUACAUGCAAGUCGAGCGAACAGACGAGGAGCUUGCUCCUCUGAUGUUAGCGGCGGACGGGUGAGUAACACGUGGAUAACCUACCUAUAAGACUGGGAUAACUUCGGGAAACCGGAGCUAAUACCGGAUAACAUGUUGAACCGCAUGGUUCAACAGUGAAAGACGGUCUUGCUGUCACUUAUAGAUGGAUCCGCGCCGCAUUAGCUAGUUGGUAAGGUAACGGCUUACCAAGGCAACGAUGCGUAGCCGACCUGAGAGGGUGAUCGGCCACACUGGAACUGAGACACGGUCCAGACUCCUACGGGAGGCAGCAGUAGGGAAUCUUCCGCAAUGGGCGAAAGCCUGACGGAGCAACGCCGCGUGAGUGAAGAAGGUCUUCGGAUCGUAAAACUCUGUUAGUAGGGAAGAAGAAAUGUGUGAGUAACUAUGGACGUCUUGACGGUACCUAAUGAGAAAGCCACGGCUAACUACGUG